rnacentral:rRNA from 1 species
GACGUAGGGGACGAGCGUUGUCCGGAUUUAUUGGGCGUAAAGCGCGCGUAGGCGGCUUGGAAAGUCGGAUGUGAAAAUCCGGGGCUCAACCCCGGACCUGCAUCCGAUACUUCCAGGCUAGAGGUAGGUAGGGGAGAUCGGAAUUCCUGGUGUAGCGGUGAAAUGCGCAGAUAUCAGGAGGAACACCGGUGGCGAAGGCGAGUCCCUGGACAACUCCUGACACUGAGGCACGAAAGCUAGGGGAGCAAACAGG